rnacentral:lncRNA from 1 species
UAAAAUUCAUAUAUUACGACUCAUUAAUCAAUGUGUGUGUAUAUACACACACACAUAUCAACAUGACCUAUUCACUGCGAGAUCUUUUGAGUAUUAAUACGCAGCCUGAAAUUCACCGUGUAUUGACUAACAAUUUACGCACUCAAAAUGAUACUCCUUCCAUUCCAAAAUUAAAGAUACUGACAACACUAAAUAUAAACAUAGAAUGCAGCUCAAGAUCCCAAGUCUAAA